AACUAAAUCAAAAUCGAUAAGAUAAAAUAAAUAACAGAGGAUUGGUCAACUUUUAUCUUUUAAAUUAGUGAAUUAUUGUUAAAAUAAGAAUUGACUUUGAUAAUAAUAAGCUACAAACGUUGAUGUGGAUCAGAAAAACAUUUCUACUCACUCUAGUUUUGGGAGUGAAAACAGUAUAUUCUGCAAACAUGGAUUCCAAAGCACUCACUUCAUCAAUAGCCCAGUUUUCUGUGAAGUUCUGCAAUGAACUAGAUAAGACUACAAGUGUGGUAUCCUCACCUCUAUCAGCAGAGUUUGUGUUAGCUCUAUUGACUUUGGGAACAAGUGAGCCCGCUCACUCUGAAUUACUGACAUCUCUAGGUAUUCCUGGAGAUGACGAUAUUCGAUCUUCAUUUUCUUCACUAUCAACAAAAUUGAAAUCUAUUAAAGGUGUGACCCUCAAUGUUGCAAAUAAAGUCUACAUAAAAGAUGGUGAUUAUGAUUUGGAUGAGAAAUUAAAGGACGAUGCUGUCAAGAUAUUCGAUGCUGCUCUCGAAAAAGUUGACUUCAGUAAUGGUGCAGCUGCUGCUGAUCUUAUUAACAAAUGGGUUGAGCAACAGACAAAUGAAAAAAUAAAGAAACUUCUUUCUGAAGACAGCCUCAAUGAAGAUUCAAGACUUGUGCUCUUAAACGCUAUCUACUUUAAGGGAACCUGGAAGAAGCAGUUCGACCCAGCUAACACCAUCCAGCAACCGUUCUACGUCGAUGAUAAAAAUACUGUAGAUGUCCCUAUGAUGUACAAAGAAGAUGACUACCUCUACGGGGAGAGCUCGCAACUAAACGCUCAGCUUCUCCAAAUACCCUACGUGGGCGACGAAGCCAGCAUGCUCAUAGUCCUUCCCCGCGAUAUCACGGGCCUCGACGCCGUGAUGACGAAGCUGGCCGGCGGCUACGACUUGCUCGCCGAUAUGGACAAGAUGUACAAAGCUACAGUGCAAGUCACCAUACCUAAAUUCAAGAUCGAAACGGAAAUCGAUCUAGCAACUCUUCUGCCCAAGCUCGGUAUCAAUGCUAUCUUCAACAUCCAAAAUUCUGGUAUCACCAAGGUUCUAAACAAACCGGAACAAUUGUACGUUUCUAAGGCCGUGCAAAAAGCCUUCAUCGAAGUCAAUGAGGAGGGCGCUGAAGCCGCAGCCGCUACGGGCAUGGUGAUGAUGCUGCGCUGCGCGCGCCCGCCCGCGCUGCGCUUCGUCGCCGACCGCCCCUUCGUGUUCGCGCUGCUGCAGGCCCGCACCGAGCUGUUCGUGGGCGUGUACCGCGCCCGCUAGAGACACGUGCGGACCCGUGCGGACCCGUGCGGACCCGUGCGGACCCGUUGCCGCCCUCGCCGCUUUGUUGAACAUCAAAGCGCAUCGCAUGCGAACGCGUCAAUGUUGCACAAUUCGAUGGGCAUCAUGCAUUGUACCGCGUUGAUAGACGAGGAACCCGAGCCGAACUUCGUGGCGGACCGCCCCUUCCUCGCCGCUAUCGUAUCAAACAACACUAUCUAUUUCGUGGCAUCGUAUCGCGGAAAGUAAUACGUGACAAAUCAACAUUUUACAAUCGAUUCGAAUCUUAGACUCGCAGUCGAUUAUUUUUUAGCACACAGAUGACAAAACAGAUAAACUAUAUUCAUAUUUUAAAUGCUAAAAGCUGAUAUAUUUUUGAUGUGUCCUUUUUAUUAAUUACUCUAAUUAAUUAUUGUAUUUAAAUCAGUUAAUGCCAACAAAAUUCGAAAUUCGAUUGUUUUAACUUAUUUCAGAGUUUUGAUCUUAUUUACGUUACGUUAUGAAAAUUAUGUUCAAAUGAUCUUUUACUCUAUACAUUCUUAUUUAAUACCAGUUGAGCUUUUGUAGGCUUUAUUUAAAAUAUAUUUAAUUUAGGUACAAAGUGCACUUAAAUGUAAUGACUCAGUAUUGUUGUCGAGAUAUUGUUUAGAGUUUAUAUUUUUAUUUAUGUUAAUAUAUAUAAUAUUUAGUAAUUA